rnacentral:rRNA from 1 species
AACGAACGCUGGCGGCAGGCCUAACACAUGCAAGUCGAACGCUGUAGCAAUACAGAGUGGCAGACGGGUGAGUAACGCGUGGGAACCUUCCCAAUGGUACGGAAUAGCCCAGGGAAACUUGGGGUAAUACCGUAUACGCCCCUAGGGGGAAAGAUUUAUCGCCAUUGGAUGGGCCCGCGUCGGAUUAGCUAGUUGGUGAGGUAAUGGCUCACCAAGGCAACGAUCCGUAGCUGGUUUGAGAGAAUGACCAGCCACACUGGGACUGAGACACGGCCCAGACUCCUACGGGAGGCAGCAGUGGGGAAUCUUGGACAAUGGGCGCAAGCCUGAUCCAGCCAUGCCGCGUGAGUGACGAAGGCCUAGGGGUUGUAAAGCUCUUUUGCCGGGGACGAUAAUGACGGUACCCGGAGAAUAAGUCCCGGCUAACUUCGUGCCAGCAGCCGCCGUAA